rnacentral:lncRNA from 7 species
AGUUUUGCCUCGUGUUUACGAUUUAUGGAUGCAACAGAAACACAGAGCAGACAGGAGUGGUCCAGAGAUCUCGCCAUUGCAGGGUUGUGUGAGCUUCCAAGUUGGAGUUUUGUCUGGGGGAGUAAUGCAUCCUCUGGGCACUGCAGGUUGAAGAAUAUCACCAGCUCAGCUCUGGGCAAUUUCCAUGGUGAAGUCACGAAUCUGCUCUGAUUGAAGUCCAGUUCUGCAUCACUUCCCUCAGUCUGGGGCUUUAUAGCAGAUUUUACUGCAAGUGUAAAAGUGGAGCAGAGACCUGUGGGCUUUGCAUUCCGAGGCCUGGCUUUGGAACAGAUAAGUGCAUGCUUGGUUGGCUUCAGGAAACCAACAGAAUGACUUGACCAGUAACCUUGCAAGAAAAAUCAGCAAGCAGACGUUCCAUUACAAUAGGAACAAAUGGUAAACGAUAGCAUUAAAGGUAACUUUCCUUUCACUAGAAGAACUUCAGCUCUGAGACAAACAGCUGUUGCUGACACACUUUAAUUAAAAUGGAAGGCUGGCUUGAAGAUUUCUUUCAUUUUAAUACGCAACAAUAACAAGAUGGAAGUGAAAAAGCACAGAUAAGUUGGGAGGAGAAGGGAGAAAUAAAUGCUGUCUGUACUACUAAAAAAUUGCCUCUACGUUAAUUCUUGGAGACAAAUUCAAUUUCACUGGCUUCAGAAUCCAGGCAGGUUACUUUGGAAAAUGUCCUACCUGAGAAAUUCUUUGAAAGUGCAGAUCCAUGGGAAGUGCUCUUGUAAUUACUGUUAUGUUGUCGCCUCUACACUGGAGCAUGGGACUGUGUUCACAUCAUCAUUCAUCAUGCUGCGAGUUCAAUAGUGUCUCCAUGUUAAUUAAAGACUAUUUUUAG